GAUGAACGCUGGCGGCGUGCCUAAUACAUGCAAGUCGAGCGAACGGACGAGAAGCUUGCUUUUCUGAUGUUAGCGGCGGACGGGUGAGUAACACGUGGAUAACCUACCUAUAAGACUGGGAUAACUUCGGGAAACCGGAGCUAAUACCGGAUAAUAUUUUAAACCGCAUGGUUCAAAAGUGAAAGACGGUCUUGCUGUCACUUAUAGAUGGAUCCGCGCUGCAUUAGCUAGUUGGUAAGGUAACGGCUUACCAAGGCAACGAUGCAUAGCCGACCUGAGAGGGUGAUCGGCCACACUGGAACUGAGACACGGUCCAGACUCCUACGGGAGGCAGCAGUAGGGAAUCUUCCGCGAUGGGCGAAAGCCUGACGGAGCAACGCCGCGUGAGUGAUGAAGGUCUUCGGAUCGUAAAACUCUGUUAUUAGGGAAGAACAUAUGUGUAAGUAACUGUGCACAUCUUGACGGUACCUAAUCAGAAAGCCACGGCUAACUACGUG
rnacentral:rRNA from 1 species